AGGGAACAUCCAGCUUUUACCAGAAGAUUUCUGCUUUUCUGACCUCUACACGACUUCCAGAUCUUAUCUGGUGGAGAGAUGAACUGGCCAGUCACUUCCAAAGCCAGCUGUGCCCACUUUGUCCUGCAAUUCCCUCUGUCCUGCUCAGUAACAUCACUGCUGUUAAUCCUGACCCUCAGGCUGUGGAGAAGGCAUUUGCAGUGCCAAAGGGAUUUUACUGGCAGACAGUUGAGAGUGAUGACAAACACUUCCCUGACAGCAGUGCCAUGGAAGCUUGCAGAGACACAGACACUGAGGUUGCCAUGGUGCUGCUGUUUGAGGCUCUCUUCCGAAGCCCCCUGGAGACCCAUCACACUCUGCAGCUGCUGCUGGGCUCUGGGCUGGAUGUCUGCGGCCUCCGCCUGCUCUACCCCGGCCAGGACCUGCUGCUCUCCAGCUCAGGUGGGCUCUGCUUCUCCUCCACAGCUUCCAUCGUGCUGAGGAAGGCUCAGAUCUAUAAAUGCACUGAGGUGAAGGGUGAUCAGAGUCAGAUUUGCAUGAGGGCUGCUUUAUCAGUUCCUGUAUCUUUCCCAAAAGAAAUUAGAGAAUAGCUUUGACUGUUUCUUUCUUUCUGUUCCCACUGUUGAAU
rnacentral:lncRNA from 1 species